UACGGAGGGGGCUAGCGUUGUUCGGUAUUACUGGGCGUAAAGCGCACGUAGGCGGCUUUGUAAGUUAGAGGUGAAAGCCCGGGGCUCAACUCCGGAACUGCCUUUAAGACUGCAUCGCUUGAAUCCAGGAGAGGUGAGUGGAAUUCCGAGUGUAGAGGUGAAAUUCGUAGAUAUUCGGAAGAACACCAGUGGCGAAGGCGGCUCACUGGACUGGUAUUGACGCUGAGGUGCGAAAGCGUGGGGAGCGAACGGG
rnacentral:rRNA from 1 species